UCACUCUGGAUUCUUUGCACAUCGAGUAAAUCUUUCGCCUUUUACUAAAGAUUUCCAUGCAAGGAGCAAUUUGAUGAGUCUAAAAUCAAAUUUUUCAAGCCCUACUUUGUAGGGU
rnacentral:snRNA from 1 species